UGGCAGGGAGGCUGGGAGGGG
rnacentral:miRNA from 1 species